UUGUUGGUAAGGUAAAAGCUUACCAAGGCUUCGAUCAGUAGCUGGUCUGAGAGGACGACCAGCCACACUGGGACUGAGACACGGCCCAGACUCCUACGGGAGGCAGCAGUGGGGAAUUUUGGACAAUGGGGGCAACCCUGAUCCAGCCAUGCCGCGUGAGUGAAGAAGGCCUUCGGGUUGUAAAGCUCUUUCAGCCGGAACGAAACGGUUACGGUUAACACCCGUGACUACUGACGGUACCGGAAGAAGAAGCACCGGCUAACUACGUGCCAGCAGCCGCGGUAAUACGUAGGGUGCGAGCGUUAAUCGGAAUUACUGGGCGUAAAGCGUGCGCAGGUGGUUUUGUAAGUCAGAUGUGAAAGCCCCGGGCUCAACCUGGGAACUGCGUUUGAAACUACAAGACUAGAGUGUGGCAGAGGGGGGUGGAAUUCCGCGUGUAGCAGUGAAAUGCGUAGAGAUGUGGAGGAACACCGAUGGCGAAGGCAGCCCCCUGGGUCAACACUGACGCUCAGGCACGAAAGCAUGGGGAGCAAACAGGAUUAGAUACCCUGGUAGUCCAUGCCCUAAACGAUGUCAACUAGUUGUCGGGCCUUUACGGACUUGGUAACGUAGCUAACGCGUGAAGUUGACCGCCUGGGGAGUACGAUCGCAAGAUUAAAACUCAAAUGAAUUGACGGGGACCCGCACAAGCGGUGGAUUAUGUGGAUUAAUUCGAUGCAACGCGAAAAACCUUACCUACCCUUGACAUGUAUCGAAGCCCGCAGAAAAGCGGGGGUGCCCGAAAGGGAACGAUAACACAGGUGCUGCAUGGCUGUCGUCAGCUCGUGUCGUGAGAUGUUGGGUUAAGUCCCGCAACGAGCGCAACCCUUGUCAUUAAUUGCCAUCAUUUAGUUGGGCACUUUAAUGAGACUGCCGG
rnacentral:rRNA from 1 species